rnacentral:rRNA from 1 species
UACGUAGGGUGCGAGCGUUGUCCGGAAUUAUUGGGCGUAAAGGGCUCGUAGGCGGUUUGUCGCGUCGGGAGUGAAAUCCACUGGCUUAACUGGUGGCUUGCUUUCGAUACGGGCAGACUGGAGGUAUGCAGGGGAGAGCGGAAUUCCUGGUGUAGCGGUGAAAUGCGCAGAUAUCAGGAGGAACACCAAUGGCGAAGGCAGCUCGCUGGGACGUGACUGACGCUGAGGCGCGAAAGCGUGGGGAGCAAACAGG